rnacentral:rRNA from 1 species
GCCUGAAUCAGUGUGUGUGUUAGUGGAAGCGUCUGGAAAGGCGCGCGAUACAGGGUGACAGCCCCGUACACAAAAAUGCACAUGCUGUGAGCUCGAUGAGUAGGGCGGGACACGUGGUAUCCUGUCUGAAUAUGGGGGGACCAUCCUCCAAGGCUAAAUACUCCUGACUGACCGAUAGUGAACCAGUACCGUGAGGGAAAGGCGAAAAGAACCCCGGCGAGGGGAGUGAAAAAGAACCUGAAACCGUGUACGUACAAGCAGUGGGAGCACGCUUAGGCGUGUGACUGCGUACCUUUUGUAUAAUGGGUCAGCGACUUAUAUUCUGUAGCAAGGUUAACCGAAUAGGGGAGCCGAAGGGAAACCGAGUCUUAACUGGGCGUUAAGUUGCAGGGUAUAGACCCGAAACCCGGUGAUCUAGCCAUGGGCAGGUUGAAGGUUGGGUAACACUAACUGGAGGACCGAACCGACUAAUGUUGAAAAAUUAGCGGAUGACUUGUGGCUGGGGGUGAAAGGCCAAUCAAACCGGGAGAUAGCUGGUUCUCCCCGAAAGCUAUUUAGGUAGCGCCUCGUGAAUUCAUCUCCGGGGGUAGAGCACUGUUUCGGCAAGGGGGUCAUCCCGACUUACCAACCCGAUGCAAACUGCGAAUACCGGAGAAUGUUAUCACGGGAGACACACGGCGGGUGCUAACGUCCGUCGUGAAGAGGGAAACAACCCAGACCGCCAGCUAAGGUCCCAAAGUCAUGGUUAAGUGGGAAACGAUGUGGGAAGGCCCAGACAGCCAGGAUGUUGGCUUAGAAGCAGCCAUCAUUUAAAGAAAGCGUAAUAGCUCACUGGUCGAGUCGGCCUGCGCGGAAGAUGUAACGGGGCUAAACCAUGCACCGAAGCUGCGGCAGCGACGCUGAUGCGUUGUUGGGUAGGGGAGCGUUCUGUAAGCCUGUGAAGGUGUACUGUGAGGUAUGCUGGAGGUAUCAGAAGUGCGAAUGCUGACAUAAGUAACGAUAAAGCGGGUGAAAAGCCCGCUCGCCGGAAGACCAAGGGUUCCUGUCCAACGUUAAUCGGGGCAGGGUGAGUCGACCCCUAAGGCGAGGCCGAAAGGCGUAGUCGAUGGGAAACAGGUUAAUAUUCCUGUACUUGGUGUUACUGCGAAGGGGGGACGGAGAAGGCUAUGUUGGCCGGGCGACGGUUGUCCCGGUUUAAGCGUGUAGGCUGGUUUUCCAGGCAAAUCCGGAAAAUCAAGGCUGAGGCGUGAUGACGAGGCACUACGGUGCUGAAGCAACAAAUGCCCUGCUUCCAGGAAAAGCCUCUAAGCAUCAGGUAACAUCAAAUCGUACCCCAAACCGACACAGGUGGUCAGGUAGAGAAUACCAAGGCGCUUGAGAGAACUCGGGUGAAGGAACUAGGCAAAAUGGUGCCGUAACUUCGGGAGAAGGCACGCUGAUAUGUAGGUGAAGUCCCUCGCGGAUGGAGCUGAAAUCAGUCGAAGAUACCAGCUGGCUGCAACUGUUUAUUAAAAACACAGCACUGUGCAAACACGAAAGUGGACGUAUACGGUGUGACGCCUGCCCGGUGCCGGAAGGUUAAUUGAUGGGGUUAGCGCAAGCGAAGCUCUUGAUCGAAGCCCCGGUAAACGGCGGCCGUAACUAUAACGGUCCUAAGGUAGCGAAAUUCCUUGUCGGGUAAGUUCCGACCUGCACGAAUGGCGUAAUGAUGGCCAGGCUGUCUCCACCCGAGACUCAGUGAAAUUGAACUCGCUGUGAAGAUGCAGUGUACCCGCGGCAAGACGGAAAGACCCCGUGAACCUUUACUAUAGCUUGACACUGAACAUUGAGCCUUGAUGUGUAGGAUAGGUGGGAGGCUUUGAAGUGUGGACGCCAGUCUGCAUGGAGCCGACCUUGAAAUACCACCCUUUAAUGUUUGAUGUUCUAACGUUGACCCGUAAUCCGGGUUGCGGACAGUGUCUGGUGGGUAGUUUGACUGGGGCGGUCUCCUCCUAAAGAGUAACGGAGGAGCACGAAGGUUGGCUAAUCCUGGUCGGACAUCAGGAGGUUAGUGCAAUGGCAUAAGCCAGCUUGACUGCGAGCGUGACGGCGCGAGCAGGUGCGAAAGCAGGUCAUAGUGAUCCGGUGGUUCUGAAUGGAAGGGCCAUCGCUCAACGGAUAAAAGGUACUCCGGGGAUAACAGGCUGAUACCGCCCAAGAGUUCAUAUCGACGGCGGUGUUUGGCACCUCGAUGUCGGCUCAUCACAUCCUGGGGCUGAAGUAGGUCCCAAGGGUAUGGCUGUUCGCCAUUUAAAGUGGUACGCGAGCUGGGUUUAGAACGUCGUGAGACAGUUCGGUCCCUAUCUGCCGUGGGCGCUGGAGAACUGAGGGGGGCUGCUCCUAGUACGAGAGGACCGGAGUGGACGCAUCACUGGUGUUCGGGUUGUCAUGCCAAUGGCACUGCCCGGUAGCUAAAUGCGGAAGAGAUAAGUGCUGAAAGCAUCUAAGCACGAAACUUGCCCCGAGAUGAGUUCU